AAUCUUCCGCAAUGGACGCAAGUCUGACGGAGCGACGCCGCGUGAGCGAAGAAGGUCUUCGGAUCGUAAAGCUCUGUUGUCAGGGAAGAACAAGUACCGGAGUAACUGCCGGUACCUUGACGGUACCUUACCUAGAAAGCCACGGCUAACUACGUGCCAGCAGCCGCGGUAAUACGUAGGUGGCAAGCGUUGUCCGGAAUUAUUGGGCGUAAAGCGCGCGCAGGCGGCCCCUUAAGUCUGAUGUGAAAGCCCACGGCUCAACCGUGGAGGGUCAUUGGAAACUGGAGGACUUGAGUACAGAAGAGGAAAGCGGAAUUCCAUGUGUAGCGGUGAAAUGCGUAGAGAUAUGGAGGAACACCAGUGGCGAAGGCGACUCUCUGGUCUGUAACUGACGCUGAGGCGCGAAAGCGUGGGGAUCAAACA
rnacentral:rRNA from 1 species